rnacentral:rRNA from 1 species
AGGACGAACGCUGGCGGCGUGCUUAACACAUGCAAGUCGAACGGUGAAAGGGAGCUUGCUCCCUGGAUCAGUGGCGAACGGGUGAGUAACACGUGGGCAACCUGCCCCUGACACUGGGAUAACUCCGGGAAACCGGGGCUAAUACCGGAUAUGACGCGACUCGGCAUCUUGUCGCGUGGAAAGUUUUUCGGUCAUGGAUGGGCCCGCGGCCUAUCAGCUUGUUGGUGAGGUAACGGCCCACCAAGGCGACGACGGGUA